rnacentral:rRNA from 1 species
GACGAAGGGGGCUAGCGUUGUUCGGAAUUACUGGGCGUAAAGCGUGUGUAGGUGGUUCUCUUAGUCAGGCGUGAAAGCCUUGAGCUCAACUCAAGAAAUGCGCUUGAUACUGGGCAGCUAGAGGACCGGAGAGGAUAGUGGAAUUCCCAGUGUAGUGGUGAAAUACGUAGAGAUUGGGAAGAACACCAGUGGCGAAGGCGGCUAUCUGGACGGUUUCUGACACUAAGACACGAAAGCGUGGGGAGCAAACAGG